GGUGGCUCAGUGGUAGAGUGCUUGCCUUGCAUGCAUGAGUCCCUGGGUUCAAUUCCUAAGCACCA
rnacentral:tRNA from 1 species